rnacentral:rRNA from 1 species
GAUGAACGCUGGCGGCGUGCCUAAUACAUGCAAGUCGAGCGAACAGACGAGGAGCUUGCUCCUCUGACGUUAGCGGCGGACGGGUGAGUAACACGUGGAUAACCUACCUAUAAGACUGGGAUAACUUCGGGAAACCGGAGCUAAUACCGGAUAAUAUAUUGAACCGCAUGGUUCAAUAGUGAAAGACGGUUUUGCUGUCACUUAUAGAUGGAUCCGCGCCGCAUUAGCUAGUUGGUAAGGUAACGGCUUACCAAGGCAACGAUGGGUAGCCGACCUGAGAGGGCGACCGGCCACAAUGGGACUGAGAGACGGACCAGAAUCGUACGGGAGGCAGCAGUGGAGAAUAUUGCAGAACGGGCGCAAGCGUGAUGCAGCGAUGCCGCGUGCGGGAUGCCGGCCUUCGGGUUGUAAACAUAUGUCAGAAGGGAAGAAGAGAAAGUGACGGUACCUGAAGAAGAAGCCCCGGCUAACUACGUG